rnacentral:lncRNA from 1 species
AUGGGCACCAUGUCUUCUCUUUCUUGGUUUCAGACACACAGAAGAAUUACAUUUCUCUACUCCCAUGCAGGCAGAUGGGGACAUCUGAGUACUAAUGGCCAACUGAUUAUGAGUAGAAGUAACACCAAAGCCUUUGUCUGUGAAAGAUCUGCAAUUCUCUCUUCUUCUAUUGCAGCAAUGGAGGUCACAUACUUCAAAUGGUACACAGCUAGUAAGGUGGUAAAGCCUUCAUCAGACUGGGUCCUUGAGUGACUAUGUAAUGGAUGCAAGAAACAAAACUUUUGUGUGUGUCUUACACUGCUGAGAUUUUGGAGUUGUUAGUUAACAGAAUGUAGCCUAGACUAUUCUGAUUUCCAAAGUGUUCUUCCAUGAAAAAUAAGUUCUAAACUGAAUUGUUGGCAGUCAACCCAAAUCUUUCUUUUAUAGCCACUGCUGGUUGAUCCCAUAAUAUAAAUUAAUUCAUAAUUGUUUCUGACCUUCAGUUUCUUGGACAAUUCAAUUUAUUCUCCAGUUCUGUUCCCACCUUUAGUCACUAGAAGAUGCAGUGUUGUCACCACUUAUUAGUAAAUCACAAAACGAACAUUUAUAAAGUCCAUGUUUUCUUAUUCAGAGGAGGGAAUGGGGUUCAUUACUUAAGUUUGGGGAAAAGAAGAGAUAUCUUGUAUGGGUUAAUCCGACCAUGAGCUCCAAUUAACCCAUACAUGAGCCUUCCCUGCCACAUUGAGAUGAUCCUUACUGAAAAGGAACAGAUUGUUCCUAAACCAGAAGAGGAGGUUGCCCAGAAGAAAAAGAUAUCCCAGAAGAAACCGAAGAAACAAAAACUUAUGGCACGGGAGUAAAUUCAGCAUUAAAAUAAAUGUAAUUAAAAGGAAAAAAAAAAGAAGAGAUAUCUUGUUCACAAACUGCUGCCAUCCAGAUGUUGGGAAAAAUUUCAGAAGGGGAAGUAAGACAUAGAGAAGCCAACUCUGUUCUAUGCUUGAGAUGAUACAUAGCACCCAACAGGGAAAAUAGAAUUGCUUAUCGUUUAUAUUUUCCCUCUCAGAGCCAUUCAUAAUGAC